CAAAUAGCACCCUUUAUUUUGUGCAAAACACUACAUUUAUACGUUUGAUUUUACUUCUAGUUAGUUUCUUUUAUCAUCUCAAAAUGAAAGUACAAGUCAUGUCUCCGGGUCCAAUUCUUUGUAUCCAACAGUCAGCAUACAAAGAUUGAUGAAUGAGGCAACUGGACUUGUUUGGCUGAACCUUUCCAUGUAUUGUGAGUGUCGAGCUCAAUGGUCAAGUGAUAUCUGUUCUUGCUUUGGCUAUUAAGUUGGUAACUUAUCAGAGUUAUUGUUUAUUUUUGCUCUCAUGAGGAUUAACGUGCCCAAAAAUAGGUCAAAACAGAAUUUCCAAGGGGCGGCUUUCCUUGUGUAAAGAUCCAACCCACCUAUUGAUGACAACGUAACAACCUAACUAACCUAAAUAGCUAAGGUAAGUAGGACAUUGUAUCCAUAUGGAACAUAUGGUGAGUAUUAUAGUCUCGUUUGAUAAAUAAGAAAAUGCAAAAAGGUGUAUUGAAGAUUGAAUUAAACUAAAGCUAAAAUGAAACUAUGAAGCAAGCAACAAAACAUAGUUAGUGUGAUAACUUUGUUUAAUCGGCUACAUAGACAUAACUUAAUUAUCUUGAUCUUAGCACUCACGUAGAGCAUUGUGAUUCAUGUGCUUAUACACCAAAAGUUUGAUCCUUAUGCAUGAUUGGGUGACCCACUAUAAACCGUACGUUGAAUCAAUAUUGCGGAAUUAAUCACACUAGAAUGAAUACUAAUCACAUACAUAUGACUAACAUUCGUUUGAAUGUUUAAGUUGAAUUGUAACCUGUUAACUUGAUAUGUGACAUCUAUAUUUGAAUACUUAAUAUCCAUAACCAAUAUAAUUAAAUAACCUUUGGAUACGAAUUAGAGUAGAUUCUACUGGUAUUCAACAUUUUGUAAUUAGUUAUAAAUGAUUUGUUCUCAGUAUCGUUUGUUCCCUUUGCCACUUAUUUCUUUACUUUUAUUUAUCGGUCCUCUUUCGUCCA